CUGCGCCAGCCAAUGGCGACGAGGUGUCUCUGUCACGUGACAGCGGAGCGGCGCGCGGGGGGUAUUUAAGGCAGGGAGGCGGGUGCCCGCGGGUAGAGCGCGGCGGGGCGGCGGCGGCUCCUGCGGCUGUGCUGGAGAGUCCAUGACAUUUAUGUCUGGAAACAAGGGAGCAGCCACCUACCUCUGGUAACUCAGCCCUUCACAGGAGUAAAAUGCUUCCAUGAUUUCCACCAGAAGAAAGUCUAUAAAGUCUCCAGAAAAUAUUUCUUGUGAGGGGCAGAGAUGCCAAUAUUUGCAUUUCCUAAACAAUAUGAACAAAAGCAGUUACAAGCAUUUGAAAUGACCCUGACCUGAACUCUUGCUCUACACAUUGCCAGAGGUUGUCUUAAAAGUCUUCACAACUUGACUAAAGAGGCAGUUUCCUUCACCUUCCUCAUAUUUUUUACCCAAAGAUCUUUCAGGUUUUUCCAUUUCCAGCACAAACUUCUUUCUUUUAUACUUGAACAUUCUGCAUUCUCUUCUGCUGUCAGAAAACAGAGGGAUGCGUGAUAAAUGCCCUGGUACCUGCAUUGUUUGUUAAACACCAGUGGCUGAAUCCCUCUGUUCUCAUUUCCUGCAGUCAUGGAAAAAAAAAUGAAAUUAUCCCAAGCAGCGUGAAUUCCUGGCACACAUGGAGCAGACCAUUCCCCAACCUCCAUGGAACAUCCAGCAGAACAGACACAAAACACGAUUCUUUCAGCUUCUUCAGUCAUGCUACCACCUGGCAUCUGCUUCAGAGGAAAUAUAAACCACUCUGGAAAAGGGAAAUGUCUUCCUGGGAAGCAUCUAGGUGAAAAUUGCUCUAUGGCUUCUUUGUCCUGCCUUGGAAUAGCUCUUUCCAUUAAAUUCAGCACCAGUGAGACACCCCAUGGGAACUCUGUUUUACUUCUCUCGUCCAGAGCAAGGGAGAGCUUAGAACCUAAAAUAGAAAGCUUGUUAAAGACAGUGGUAACACAAUAAACAGCGCUGCUUGUCACUGAGUGUUUUCUUGGGUCCUCUUCUUAGGCUAAAUACCACAAGAAGAGCAACA